rnacentral:rRNA from 1 species
AUGGCGACCGGCGCACGGGUGAGUAACACGUAUCCAACCUGCCGAUGACUCGGGGAUAGCCUUUCGAAAGAAAGAUUAAUACCCGAUGGCAUAGUUCUUCCGCAUGGUGGAACUAUUAAAGAAUUUCGGUCAUCGAUGGGGAUGCGUUCCAUUAGGUUGUUGGCGGGGUAACGGCCCAUCAAGCCUUCGAUGGAUAGGGGUUCUGAGAGGAAGGUCCCCCACAUUGGAACUGAGACACGGUCCAAACUCCUACGGGAGGCAGCAUUG